AGCUUUGAGCUAAAUAUUUUAUAAUAUUAGUUAUUAUUAAAGGUGUUGUAUAACCUUAUUAAAAAUUAUAUUUAGGGGUGAUAGGCUUUUCAAAAUCUAAGAUAUCUUGAAUCUAAUUAAAAGUAUGUAGUACAUUUAACACGACUAUUAAGUGAUUAGGCUUUAUAGAAUCUAUUAAACUUUAAGAUAUUUUUAUUUAUUAUAAUUUAAUAACUAAGUAUAUAAAUAAAUUAACAUUCAUAUAUUAUAAUUUAUAAAAGAGUAAUUAGAUAGAUUUAAGUUUAUUUGAAAUUGUAAUAAUGUUAAUAUUAGUAUAUAAUUUAUAUUUAUAUGAUGAACUCGGCAAAAAUGCUUCUCAACUGUUUAUCAAAAACAUAACUAUGUGAAAAAAUACAUAGCGGUUUCUGCUCAA
rnacentral:rRNA from 1 species